rnacentral:rRNA from 1 species
GCUCAGCCGUAAACUUUGAUAGAUUUCUACCCCCACUAUCCGCCAGGGUACUACGAGCAUCAGCUUAAAACCCAAAGGACUUGGCGGUGCUUUAGACCCACCUAGAGGAGCCUGUUCUAGAACCGAUAACCCCCGUUAAACCUCACCCUCCCUUGUUCUUCCCGCCUAUAUACCGCCGUCGUCAGCUUACCCUGUGAAGGUUUCAUAGUAAGCAGAGUCAGUAUAACUCAAAACGCCAGGUCGAGGUGUAGCAUAUGAGAGGGAAAGAAAUGGGCUACAUUCCCUACAGUAGGGUACACGGAUAAUGUGAUGAAACGUACAUUAGAAGGAGGAUUUAGCAGUAAGCCAAAAAUAGAGUGUUUUGCUGAAACUGGCCCUGAAGCGCGC